AAAUGUGUGGGUGAUCUGGCUGCGACAUCUGUCACCCCACUGAUCGCCAGGGUUAUUCAGCUGAUCUGGCUGACUAGGCGGGUGUCCCCUUCCUCCCUUGCGCCACCCUUGCAUGUUCCUCCCGAAGUUCCACACUCAGUCUAAGAAGACAACCAUCCCCGAUACAGGAGGACCGUUCUUCAGUCAAGGGGACAUGAGUAGCUGCACUCUUCUUCUGGAACCUUCCAACAAGCUCUCAAGGUCCAAAUACAGCAGCCAGGGAAGAGGCAGGUGGAGAAAGCUGGGCGUCUCCUGGUGGGUCUCUUAUGGCUGUGUUA
rnacentral:snRNA from 1 species